rnacentral:rRNA from 1 species
CCUACGGGGGUCAGCAGUGAGGAAUAUUGGUCAAUGGCCGGAAGGCUGAACCAGCCAAGCCGCGUGAAGUACGAAGGUGCCAAGCAUUGUAAACUUCUUUUGUCAAGGGACAAAAUCAGGCUCGAGAGCCUGACCGAGGGUACUUGAAGAAAAAGCAUCGGCUAACUCCGUGCCAGCAGCCGCGGUAAUACGGUGGAUGCGAGCGUUAUCCGGAUUUAUUGGGUUUAAAGGGUGUGUAGGCGGACCGGUAAGUCAGAGGUAAAAGUCCGGGGCGCAACCCCGGCGAGCCGAUGAAACUGGCUGUCUUGAGAUGUCGAGAGGUAUGCGGAAUGCGCAGUGUAGCGGUGAAAUGCUUAGAUAUUGCGCAGAACUCCGAUUGCGAAGGCAGCAUACCGGCGGCGAUCUGACGCUGAGGCACGAAAGCGUGGGUAUCGAACAGGAUUAGAUACCCGGGUAGUC